rnacentral:rRNA from 1 species
CGCGUAGGUGGCCCGGUAAGUCCGCUGUAAAAGUCCAGGGCUCAACCCUGGAAAGCCGGUGGAUACUGUCGGGCUCGAGUCCGGAAGAGGCGAGUGGAAUUCCUGGUGUAGCGGUGGAAUGCGCAGAUAUCAGGAGGAACACCGAUGGCGAAGGCAGCUCGCUGGGACGGUACUGACACUGAGGCGCGAAAGCGUGGGAGCGAACA